UCAAUGUUCCGUUCACGUCGGUUUGUCAUUUAUCAAAACCUACAAAUAUGAACACUCGUUUAAUUUAGCGACUUGAGAACGUGUUUCAACACAAAUUGAUCUAAAAUUUUCAAAAGUGCAAUUGUCAAUGAGGAUUCUUUUGCGCAGGAGAGUUCGAUAAAAAAAUAAGAAUAGUUUUGCAACCUGUAAAUCAAAUUAGAGUAGGGCAACUUGAUAGUUUCCAUUGUUAGGUUUUAAAUAUUCCUAAAUUAUAUGCUUUUUUAACAGAAAUUAAUUUGUCUAUGAUUUUUCAACUUAAUUUAAAAUUAAUACUCAAGGGCAGAAAACCUCACCUCAUAAAUUCAUUAGUAUUGUCAUAUAUAAUAAUUAAAAGAAAAGCAUCCUCUUUCACGAAGUAACAUUUUACAACUUAAACAAUGUUAAUAACAGUAAUUACUUUUCACUUACCAGACAAUGAACAAUAUUCACACAAAGCUGCUGUUGAUUUUUAAUCCCAAAUCUACAAAUACUGUCAAUUUUUGGAUUUUGUACCUAUAGUGUACUAACAAUAAUUAGUAAUAUAUUGCAGGUUAAUCAUGCACUAGUUGAAGAGAUACAUAAUAUCAAUCGGCAGAUUAUGGACACUGUUCAAGAAAUUGGUGACGAAGGUGUUGAUCCAAGUGCAGUUGCUGCUGCUGCAAUAGAGGGUGGUGAAAGCACUACUGUAAAGUGUGUCUUAAAAAAUUAAUUUUAACCCCAAAUUUCAAGCUACUAAGAACGAGAAAACAAGGAAAAAUUUUUAGUCAUACCUAACAAAAGCAUACAUAUAUUUAGAAACCAAAAUACUUUCAGUCACACACUCAAAUCGUAGUAAAAAUGAAACAUGCAAGACAAAAGAAAGACCUUUAAGCAAAUAUAACAAUAUAUGUGGGAAGAAAUUACUCUGACUGAAGCAAAUGACAAUACAUCGGAAAAAUUACACAAAAUCAGAGAAUGAGUAAAAGGAGUGGGGAAAAUGAGGGAAUCGAAAAACAUUAUAAGUUUAAAUAUGAUAAUUCCAAUCUAGAAUGCAUAUAUCCAUGGCUACUACAUUCUUCAAAUAAGAGAAAUUACCUGAAUAAAAUUAAAAACAAAACCAAUAGAACAGAUUACUUGAACAAUGGUAAAUAAUAUUAGCAGUGAUUGAAGUUCCACUGCUAACUUUUUGAGACGUGGGAAAAGGUUUGGGGGAAAAAUGGCUCUUUUAUUUUUCUUCAUAUUGGGGGAGUGAGAAAGAAAGAAUGGAGAAAGGGUUUGGGAAAAAAAUGAGGGAAACUAGAAAAAUAACGUGGAAAAUUUUUAGCGCUCUUUAUUUUUGUUCCGGGUCAUGACCACCGCAAUUAAAAGAGGAAAAGAAUAGAAAAAGGGGUUGGGGAAAAAAUCAGGAAAACUAGAAAAAUACGUGGGAAAUUAUUAGG
rnacentral:lncRNA from 1 species